UCGACAAUGACACAAUUUGUUAUCAACAAGGACAGGGAUUCUCUUGACGUGGAAAGCAUAUCUCAGACUCACCCUUCAAUUUCACAGUUUGAAUCAAACAAAUGAUAGAGUACAACAAAUUCUUCAAUUUUCCUCAACAUUUCACAUCAUGCUUUCCAGAACACCACAUUACACAAUCAGUUAAUUUUAGAAAGAAAAAAACAAUCACCUUUUUCAUAACAUUUUUUAAGAAAUUUUGAUUUUUAACAUAGAAUAUAAAAUAGGUGAAUCUAAACAUGUUUGUGUGUGAGGCCCCCCUCCCUACAUUGAGACCAGGUGCACUAUUAAGUAUGUUGUCCUUUUUAUAUAAUAGACCAAAAAUAUCAGCAUUUCAAAAGGACAACUUUCCUCUAACCAAAAAUUAAGUCCAAUUACUCUUCUGUCACCAUCAAUUUGAAUCUCUGUAAUCAAUCUUUAUACUUUGCUAUGAAUUUUAGUUGUAAUCACAGCAAAAAUUCAUCCUAGUAAAAAAGGCAUGUUUACAUAUUUUUAUUGGACCUGAAUAAAAAUUGAAAUGUCACAUUAAAAUGAAAUAUUCAAUUGAGAAAUUUUUUGGCAUUCUAGAACAGAAAUUUCUCAACACAGAACAAUGAUAUAUUCAAGAGGCAACACUUCAGUACCCUUAAGAGGUACAUAUAUGAUAUAUCUCAUGUCAUGUGAUGUAAAUUAUAUUAAACAGAAUUACAUAACUUUUACAAUACUUAAGUGCUGUAACUAUGUAAAAAUUAAUUUAAACAUAUGUAGAAAGAAUCCUCCAUAUUCAAGUAUUGCAUGCUAGGAUCUCAAUGAAACUGAGAAAUACCAAAAAAAUUCCAGUUUGGAAUUAGAUCUGCCAUAGGAUGCCAGAUGGAAAAUCCUGUGAAAAUAAAAAGGAGUUGAGGAAGAAGUAUUGGAACUCCCAAAAAGAAAACUACUAAUAAGACAUUCAAUAUAAGAACAUGGAAGUAAAAAAUCAGUAAAAUUAUACAUAAUGACAAUCAUUGAAUGAAGCAUAACUUCCCAAAGAGAUAACCAAACUUUCCUUAACCAAGAGCAAUAAAACUGAUUUAUGAUUGCUGAAAAUUUUCUGGUAGAGAUAUAAGGUUGACUUAGUGGUUGGAUAGAGAGUUAGUUAUUCGGGUCGACGAUUCGAUCUCCUCCUCAGGCAUUAAUUCUAACAAUACUAACUAACAUUUAUCUUUGAUAAAAAAAAUAAAAUAAAUCUCCCUGUUAGAGGCAGGCACUACCAAACAUCCUACAAAAAAUUCAUGUGUCACAAUUACUUUGCAGAGUAAAAUGUAGAAAUAUAAGUUUUAAAAGGAAAAUGACAUUCCUUUUUUUGCAUAAACCAAAGGUAUCACUACACUCAACUGCAAAGAUUAAUAUAUUGAGGUAAUAAUUACAUUUUCUGGUAGUUUGUUUGAAUUUUGUGUCAUUCAAUUUAUCAAAGUUGUUAUCAUCUUCUACUAGUUUAAUUUUAUCACAGUUAAAGCACAUCCAAUUUUCAAUAAAAAAACAAUGACAAUUUGUACAAUUACAAUAAAUAAAAUUAAAUCCGAGAUACAAAUACAAUGCGAUAAGGGAUAUAAUCUAAGCAAUACUAUAUCCAAAAUCUAUUAAAUAUAACAUCAAUAGCAUCUAAGUAAUUUGCAAAAAUUCAAUUUUGAUACCUGAUUCAAGUUUUUGCGUGGUAAGAGGAAUCAAAUGCCAACAAUCUUGAGGAUAAUGAAGAAGAGGAAUCCAAGGAAAAUUAAAAGGAAAAGGUAAUCAAUGAAGAUAAAGAGUUUGGUAGAGCCAUGAUUCCUCUUCUUCUUGGUUUUGGUCUCCGAUUCGUCCAUUUCUUCAAGCUUCGCCAUUGGUUUGAAUUGAAGGCAGAGUCGUGUUUGAGUUAGAGAAAGAGCGAAGAGAGAUUCGUUAAAAUCGCACUUCUCAAAGUAUUUGGGCUUUCAAAGACCCAAUAUGUGCUUAGAUGAAUUUGUUUAUCAACUUUAUAAUCCAUUUGUUGCGUAUUCAUGUCAUUUUGGUAUUGUAUUCAAUAAAAAUU
rnacentral:lncRNA from 1 species